AGGGCUUUCAAAUUUACCAAGCAAUUAAAAAACACGUGAGAAGUUGUGAUGAAAGUAGCAACCCUUUUUGAUGAAUGAGAAUGCUAUUUAUUCAAUCGUUGAAAAUUACAGUUUUUUUACACUUCCGAGCUGGUGGAUCAAUCUGGUGAUUAAAUUUCACAUUUAGCUAUCGAUAUUGGAGCAGCACCAUCAACUCUUUUGUCAAGGAAAAGAAGGUGGUCCAGAUGUCACUGAUUGAGCAGUAUAUGCAAACAUCAACCUACAAGACAAGGCGACCUAAUAACAAACAGAAUUGAGUAUUAGUAUGUAUAUGUCCGACAUGUACGGGUGAUGUAUUCUACUACAAGAAGCAAAGGAAAAACAAGAAAGUGCAAGCCAAAGGAAAUGGAGAUGGAGGAGAAAAUACGAAGAAGAAGUUAUUUUAGAUGGAUGUGGCGUGCUUUACUAUCUACAUAAGAUGUUUCGGCCUUCAGGUAAAAAAAAAUAAAA